rfam:Fonsecaea pedrosoi CBS 271.37 unplaced genomic scaffold supercont1.8, whole genome shotgun sequence.
GGGAGGUUGGCCGAGUGGGUUAAGGCGGCAGAUUUAAGCCUCUAUGAGCAGGAUGAUCUCUGCUUUCCGAAAGGAAGCGUGGGUGAGUAGUCACGACUGGUGUAAUGUUUUAAACAUUUGAAAAAGUAUUUUGUCUCAUAAUAUGAGUUCAGGUUCGAACCCCACACCUCUCA